rnacentral:rRNA from 1 species
GAUCAUGCUCAGAUUGAACGCUGGCGGCAUGCCUUACACAUGCAAGUCGAACGGUAGAGUAGCAAUACUUGAGAGUGGCGAACGGGUGAGUAAUAUAUCGGAACGUGCCCAGUCGUGGGGGAUAACGUAGAGAAAUUUACGCUAAUACCGCAUACGAUCUAAGGAUGAAAGCGGGGGAUUCGCAAGAACCUCGCGCGAUUGGAGCGGCUGAUAUCAGAUUAGGUUGUUGGUGAGGUAAAAGCUCACCAAGCCGACGAUCUGUAGCUGGUUUGAGAGAACGACCAGCCACACUGGGACUGAGACACGGCCCAGACUCCUACGGGAGGCAGCAGUGGGGAAUUUUGGACAAUGGGCGAAAGCCUGAUCCAGCAAUGCCGCGUGCAGGAAGAAGGCCUUCGGGUUGUAAACUGCUUUUGUACGGAACGAAAAGGCUCUUUCUAAUAAAGAGGGCCCAUGACGGUACCGUAAGAAUAAGCACCGGCUAACUACGUG